GUGGUUGUAGCUCAGUUGGUUAGAGCGCUGGUUUGUGGUGCCGGAUGUCGUGGGUUCGAAUCCCAUCUUCCACC
rnacentral:tRNA from 1 species